GACGAACGCUGGCGGCGUGCUUAACACAUGCAAGUCGAACGGAAAGGCCCUGCUUUUGUGGGGUGCUCGAGUGGCGAACGGGUGAGUAAAACGUGAGUAACCUGCCCUUGACUUUGGGAUAACUUCAGGAAACUGGGGCUAAUACCGGAUAGGAGCUCCUGCUGCAUGGUGGGGGUUGGAAAGUUUCGGCGGUUGGGGAUGGACUCGCGGCUUAUCAGCUUGUUGGUGGGGUAGUGGCUUACCCAGGCUUUGACGGGUAGCCGGCCUGAGAGGGUGACCGGCCACAUUGGGACUGAGAUACGGCCCAGACUCCUACGGGAGGCAGCAGUGGGGAAUAUUGCACAAUGGGCGGAAGCCUGAUGCAGCAACGCCGCGUGCGGGAUGACGGCCUUCGGGUUGUAAACCGCUUUCGCCUGUGACGAAGCGUGAGUGACGGUAAUGGGUAAAGAAGCACCGGCUAACUACGUG
rnacentral:rRNA from 1 species